UUAGACAAACGCUGCAUAUAUUAUAUGUAGAGGAAAGUCCAUGCUCACUCAUCCUGGAAUGGAUGAAAGUGUUCGUGCUAAGGGAAAAAAUAACCUUAGGUAGCAUUGCUAACGGCAUCGAAAUAGUCAAGACCUGACUAAAGUAGAUAUAAAAGUGCCAUAGAGACGAGACUAUUAGGGAUAAUAGUUGUGGAACGAGGUAAACCCCACGAGUGAGAAACCCAAAUUUGGUAGGGGAACUCUUACGAAUGAAUAAUAAAGGAGUAAGGGAAGGAGAAAUCCUUAGAUAAAUGUUUGUCACCUUUUAGGUACAGAACAUGGCUUAUU
rnacentral:RNase_P_RNA from 1 species